UUGAUGAUGGUGAGGAAAGUAAAGUGUUGGGUUGUAGUGUUUGCGUCUACAAUCGUGUGAAAUCUCCCUCCUCGGACUGCUCUAUCCACGUUGGGUUGGUGUGUGCAGAGAAUUUAGGAUUUGAUGGUGAUUUGGGAAAACAAAUAACAUCCAUAGUCUUCCAUGAUGAUGUACCGGACUUUCUUGGAGUGCGAGCACGACCAUUGAACGACUGCGUGAACUUUUCUCUAAUUGUAAUAGAUAAGGAUUUGAUAAAUUUGUAUAAUAGUAAUUUAGCGGACUUCGGAGAUAUGCCGGACAUUAUAAAUUUUUAUUUGGUGUUA